rnacentral:rRNA from 1 species
AGAGUUUGAUCAUGGCUCAGAUUGAACGCUGGCGGCAUGCCUUACACAUGCAAGUCGAGCGGCAGCGCGGGGGCAACCCUGGCGGCGAGCGGCGCACGGGUGAGUAAUGCAUCGGAACGUGUCCUCUUGUGGGGGAUAACCAGUCGAAAGACUGGCUAAUACCGCAUGAGAUCGAGAGAUGAAAGCAGGGGACCCGCAAGGGCCUUGCGCGAGAGGAGCGGCCGAUGCCCGAUUAGCUAGUUGGCGGGGUAAUGGCCCACCAAGGCGACGAUCGGUAGCUGGUCUGAGAGGACGACCAGCCACACUGGGACUGAGACACGGCCCAGACUCCUACGGGAGGCAGCAGUGGGGAAUUUUGGACAAUGGGGGCAACCCUGAUCCAGCCAUGCCGCGUGUGUGAAGAAGGCCUUCGGGUUGUAAAGCACUUUCGGACGGAACGAAAUCGCGCGGGCGAAUAUCCCGCGUGGAUGACGGUACCGUAAGAAGAAGCACCGGCUAACUACGU